UGAAGCCCUUCGGGGUGGAUUAGUGGCGAACGGGUGAGUAACACGUGGGCAAUCUGCCCUUCACUCUGGGACAAGCCCUGGAAACGGGGUCUAAUACCGGAUAAUACUUCGUUCCGCAUGGGACGGGGUUGAAAGCUCCGGCGGUGAAGGAUGAGCCCGCGGCCUAUCAGCUUGUUGGUGGGGUGAUGGCCUACCAAGGCGACGACGGGUAGCCGGCCUGAGAGGGCGACCGGCCACACUGGGACUGAGACACGGCCCAGACUCCUACGGGAGGCAGCAGUGGGGAAUAUUGCACAAUGGGCGAAAGCCUGAUGCAGCGACGCCGCGUGAGGGAUGACGGCCUUCGGGUUGUAAACCUCUUUCAGCAGGGAAGAAGCGCAAGUGACGGUACCUGCAGAAGAAGCGCCGGCUAACUACGUGCCAGCAGCCGCGGUAAUACGUAGGGCGCAAGCGUUGUCCGGAAUUAUUGGGCGUAAAGAGCUCGUAGGCGGCUUGUCACGUCGGAUGUGAAAGCCCGGGGCUUAACCCCGGGUCUGCAUUCGAUACGGGCUAGCUAGAGUGUGGUAGGGGAGAUCGGAAUUCCUGGUGUAGCGGUGAAAUGCGCAGAUAUCAGGAGGAACACCGGUGGCGAAGGCGGAUCUCUGGGCCAUUACUGACGCUGAGGAGCGAAAGCGUGGGGAGCGAACAGGAUUAGAUACCCU
rnacentral:rRNA from 1 species